AGUGAACGCUGGCGGUAGGCCUAACACAUGCAAGUCGAACGGAAGCACAGUAAGAGUUUGCUCUUACGGGUGGCGAGUGGCGGACGGGUGAGGCAUACAUCGGAAUCCACUUUUUCGUGGGGGAUAUCGUAGGGAAACUUACGCUAAUACCGCAUACGACCUACGGGUGAAAGCAGGGGAUCUUCGCACCUUGCGCGUUUGAAUGAGCCGAUGUCGGAUUAGCUAGUUGGCGGGGUAAAGGCCCACCAAGGCGACGAUCCGUAGCUGAUCUGAGAGGAUGAUCAGCCACACUGGAACUGAGACACGGUCCAGACUCCUACGGGAGGCAGCAGUGGGGAAUAUUGGACAAUGGGCGCAAGCCUGAUGCAGCCAUGCCGCGUGAGUGAUGAAGGCCUUCGGAUUGUAAAGCCCUGUUAUUGGGGAAGAAAAGCUGCAUAUGAAUACCCCGCCGUUCUGACGGUACCCAAAGAAAAAGCACCGGCUAACUACGUG
rnacentral:rRNA from 1 species